GUUUCAUUGGUAGUCGAAACAUUUCGACGUUAAGUCGUGCUCCGGACUCUGGGACUCGUUAGUGAUUGGCCCUUCACGAACCGCGAAACACGAGAGAGCUUGUUACUUAGUUCGUGCGUUAAUUGGCCGGAGACUUUGCAAGUGCCAAGCGGCAGAGGAAAAGCAGUCCUCCUGUCUUCGAUUUGGGGUGGGGGAGCAAAGAGAGCGAACAUCUGGGAAAGUUCCGAUUGGCGAAGGCAGAGGGCAGGGCCGAGGAGCUUUUGGCGGGUCUCCGGCGCCGCGCCACGGGUCUGUCUCCGCAGGGCGCUGAUUGGACCUGCGGGUUGCUCACAUCACCGUAGAAGGCGGGGCCCUCUCCAAUAAAUCCUAAAAGCCGGCGCUGAGGCUGCAGUAACUUUAGUUGCAGUUUACGCUUGCUUUUCUGUGAAGAGGUGGAGACCGUGAGUCGAGUCCCGCAGAGCACGUCGUCGCAGUCGCCGCGUCUCGCGCAGGCUGCCUUCGCUGCCGCCCCCGAGGAGACGGACCCUUCCACGCCCUCUCCACCAGAGAGAUGUCUGCUCCAGCACAGCCACCAACACCAGGGGCCCCAGAAGGGGGUGCUCCUGGGGGGGGCCAGCCUACCAACACAACUAGUAACAGGCGAAUGCAACAAACACAGGCAGAAGUGGAGGAGGUGGUAGAUAUCAUACGAGUGAAUGUGGACAAGGUCCUGGAAAGGGAUCAGAGGCUGUCUGAAUUGGAUGACCGCGCAGAUGCCUUACAGGCAGGAGCAUCACAGUUUGAGAGCAGUGCUGCCAAGCUAAAGAGGAAGUACUGGUGGAAAAAUUGUAAGAUGAUGAUCAUGCUGGGAGCCAUUUGUGCCAUCAUCGUGGUAAUUAUUGUAAGUAAGUAUCAUUGAAAUUACUGAGGGUGAACAGGGGGGAAAGCCCCAGAAUCUUCUCCCCUGCCUGCCCAGGGAACUGGAGGUACUCUGGGUGAGCUACGGACUGACUGCCUCUCUCUGUGGGACAGAGAGCCUGGCCUGGUGGGGGUGAAAUAGAGAGACCACCACACAGGACCCAAGUGCCUCUUGGUGCUGGCCAAAUCCUUCCUCUGAGAUUUUGGAGAGAGGCCAAUUUUCUGGUCUUUGGUGCUCCUGGGAAAACACUGGGGAUAGGUCGUCUGUGCCUGACUGACUAGAAUGUCUAAUAACUUGGGUUAAUUUGCCCUCCUGUUUUUCCUGUCUCUUUCUAUCUGUGCCUUCCUGAUUCCUGUCUGCAGUCUAUUUUUUUACUUAAUGUACCACCCCUCCUUCAUUCCCCACACCAUCAGAACUCAUGCCCCUUUCCCAUUGUCAUUUCCCCAGCAGACCUAGGCCAUCUACCUUGUCCUUACCCAAGCUCCUUCAUCUCCUCUUUAGUUGCUUUGUUUGUACCUAGCCCUCCUGCACUGGACACGCUGCUCAUGGGGUGGCUGCAUUCUUACUCCAGGAAGCACGAGUAACCAGGGUUUGGCCUCUCCCCUUCAGAAAACACCCGUGCCCCAGCCCAGGAAGUAGAAUGGAGGUCAGAGCAGAAGCAGGUCAGCCAGAACAAGUUCAGGGGAAGCUGCCUGAGUGGGAGCCGGGACCGCAGGGCCGAGGCAGUCUGGAGUGAGGCUUGGGGAGAGCAUAGGGAAAAGGCAGUUUCCUCCCCUUACCUCCUACUGCAGCUUCUCAAUAGGGUCUGCAGUGUUAACAGAAUGGGAGAAGCUUGACCUCAAUAACGACCAUCCUGGGCCAUCAGAAAUCGCAGUGGUGAUUUUGAUCAAACAGCAGAAUAAUUUUAUUGCAAAAGAUAUUUUGGAGUCUGGAGCAAUGAUAUGCGGGGUCUGAUCAUUAUUUUUAUAAUUAAGUACAGUACUCAAAAACCUAGAAGACCUUGAAUUGUGUCUACUCCCAGGGCAUUCCUGGUACCCAGUGUUUUUCAGAAGAUUUCCCUCUCUCCCCUGCCGCCACCGCUGCUGCUGCUGCUGCUGCUACUGCUUUCAGUCUGGCCCAGGAUCUGCCAGUGCUUCUGGUGCUGCCAUUCUGUUUACCACAGAAUUGGUGGGUUUGAACACUUUUCCUUUUGACUUAAAAACAUUUGGGGUACAAUUUUGCUCACUGUCUGCUCCUCAUUUAGAAUUGGUACCUAGAGGCUGAUAAGGUAUCAGGUCAGCUCUUAAUAGACAAGUCUAAUAGUGCGUGAGAGGGCGCAAAAAUAUCCUUUGCAGUUGAAAUUUGGGCCUGUUGGUUAUUCUUAGUCAUUAUAAAAAUAUUAGAGAAAAAACUGCCUUGGAAACUGAACUAAGUGUAAGGCAAGGUAAGGUAAGAGACCUUAUUCAAAAAUAAUGAAUCUAAAAUAAGCAUUUAUUAAGCACCUUCUCUGUGCCAGGCACUGUACUAAGCACUGGGAGUACAAAGGAAGGGUAAAAACAGUAUUUUCUUGAGGAGUUUUUUUUUCUUAUGGGGAAGAUCAUAAAUGAAUCCAUAUGGAACAGAUCAAUGAUAGUCUCAGAGAGAAGGCAAUGGAGUAGGUGUGGAAGGAGAGGGAGGAAUUGAGAAUAAGGAGGACCUCCUGAUAGUCACCAAGGUUUGGCUGGGAUGAGAUGGCCUUUUUAUAGUAGAUGGUUUUUUUUCUCCUUUCCCUUGAUAGCAAGAAGGUGGAAGUUUGGGAAUGGGAGGUACCUGAUAUCCCAGGAAAGUCCUUUUUCAGCUCUGCCCUGUUGUUAUACCAAAGACAGAGACGUGGUAAUAGUCCCAGUCUGGAACCAGACUAUAAGACUUUUCAGGGAAGUCCAGUGUAGACACUAGACCCGUAUCUUCCUGUUGUGGGUGACAGCUGUGUGGCUGUGCUGACAGAGUCAUCACUUUGCCACCUCCCUACUAUUUAGUACCCCUUCUCUCCAGGUCCAUCUUCUACUUGCCCCUUCAUGCCAAUUUAAACUCUUUCCUUCUGUAGUGCUUGGGUUUAUUGGCCUAGGCAGAGGGAUCAUAACUGUGUCCAGUUUUCUGACAGUAUCCUAGGAAUAUCCUUCUAGCUUUAAGACAGGAUGCCAAAUGAGACUCCUGGGCAGAUACAACAGUGACCUCUUCUCUCACCUUUAUAUAUAGUCAAGCAAAGGGAGUGUAGGGCUUGGGGUUGCAUGUUCACCUUCCAUGCACUACCAUUUUAUUUGCCAAAAACACCCCCUUCCCCAACCCCUACCUACUUCCAUAUUCCCUUGUCCUGCCCUGUGGUGGGACUGAAGAGCUGGAAGGAAGCAAUCAGUGUACCUCUCCCAACCUCUCCCCCAAGAAGGUCUCCACUAUCUCUGGGCGCCUUCCUCUCUUGGGGGGACACCGCUGGAGAAGAACCACCACUGUCCUCGCUGCCUCUAGAGCCAGGAACAAACCAGCCCCUGGGCUCACUAAGCCCCAGCCUCUUCAUCACUUUAAGCGCUUUGUCAAAGGAUUUUGCACUCUGGGUUUUUGUUGUGCCUAAGAGUUCCCUUCCAGUGACCAGAAUAGAUUCUCCAAACCUUGGAGUGGGAGUAAAAAAAGGAAGGGAUGUCUUCCCUCAAUUUUCCCACCCCAUGACCUGAUUCUGUCUCUUUGCUAUCAUCCCCAUGCAUGGGCAAAAAUGCUGUUGUACACCCAGGACUUUCCAGCCAAAUGAAGCAGAUUUCCCCAUGUUCCCCCAUCCCUUCCGGUUUGUCAUGAGCCGCUGUGGGGUUUUUCACUGUGUCUGUUUUCCCCUUUCUGUCUUUCUUUCCCUUCUUCCAAUCUCAUACUUGUGUAAAAUAAUAACAGUUGUAUUCCAAGUAAGGCAUGUAGCACAUUUACUAAUUUCGUGUAUUCUGGGAAAAAAAAAAUUCCUAUCACCAACCUGAUGGCAUCUGGGUGACUUGGCAUAAAUUGGGGGCGGGCUACCACUGGGGCAGAUUUCUCCAUAGGUUAAAGCACUGGUGCUUUUGUGCAGUUUGCUCUUCUGAUUGAGAUUAAAGAUACCCUUGUAUGUUGGCAAUGGAACUGGUCUCCAUUCUUGUGUUCUGCAUGCUUUGAUUUCUCAUUGCGAGCUGUGUAACUGUCCGUCCUGAAGCAGGUAGGUGGAAGCCAUCCUGAAGCCAGCUGAUGGAAGGAGUGACAGAAAACUGGCC
ensembl:lncRNA